AGGAUGAACGCUAGCUACAGGCUUAACACAUGCAAGUCGAGGGGCAGCAUGGUCUUAGCUUGCUAAGGCCGAUGGCGACCGGCGCACGGGUGAGUAACACGUAUCCAACCUGCCGUCUACUCUUGGACAGCCUUCUGAAAGGAAGAUUAAUACAAGAUGGCAUCAUGAGUCCGCAUGUUCACAUGAUUAAAGGUAUUCCGGUAGACGAUGGGGAUGCGUUCCAUUAGAUAGUAGGCGGGGUAACGGCCCACCUAGUCUUCGAUGGAUAGGGGUUCUGAGAGGAAGGUCCCCCACAUUGGAACUGAGACACGGUCCAAACUCCUACGGGAGGCAGCAGUGAGGAAUAUUGGUCAAUGGGCGAGAGCCUGAACCAGCCAAGUAGCGUGAAGGAUGACUGCCCUAUGGGUUGUAAACUUCUUUUAUAAAGGAAUAAAGUCGGGUAUGGAUACCCGUUUGCAUGUACUUUAUGAAUAAGGAUCGGCUAACUCCGUGCCAGCAGCCGCGGUAAUACGGAGGAUCCGAGCGUUAUCCGGAUUUAUUGGGUUUAAAGGGAGCGUAGAUGGAUGUUUAAGUCAGUUGUGAAAGUUUGCGGCUCAACCGUAAAAUUGCAGUUGAUACUGGAUAUCUUGAGUGCAGUUGAGGCAGGCGGAAUUCGUGGUGUAGCGGUGAAAUGCUUAGAUAUCACGAAGAACUCCGAUUGCGAAGGCAGCCUGCUAAGCUGCAACUGACAUUGAGGCUCGAAAGUGUGGGUAUCAAACAGGAUUAGAUACCCUGGUAGUCCACACGGUAAACGAUGAAUACUCGCUGUUUGCGAUAUACGGCAAGCGGCCAAGCGAAAGCGUUAAGUAUUCCACCUGGGGAGUACGCCGGCAACGGUGAAACUCAAAGGAAUUGACGGGGGCCCGCACAAGCGGAGGAACAUGUGGUUUAAUUCGAUGAUACGCGAGGAACCUUACCCGGGCUUAAAUUGCAGAUGAAUUACGGUGAAAGCCGUAAGCCGCAAGGCAUCUGUGAAGGUGCUGCAUGGUUGUCGUCAGCUCGUGCCGUGAGGUGUCGGCUUAAGUGCCAUAACGAGCGCAACCCUUGUUGUCAGUUACUAACAGGUUCCGCUGAGGACUCUGACAAGACUGCCAUCGUAAGAUGUGAGGAAGGUGGGGAUGACGUCAAAUCAGCACGGCCCUUACGUCCGGGGCUACACACGUGUUACAAUGGGGGGUACAGAGGGCCGCUACCACGCGAGUGGAUGCCAAUCCCCAAAACCUCUCUCAGUUCGGACUGGAGUCUGCAACCCGACUCCACGAAGCUGGAUUCGCUAGUAAUCGCGCAUCAGCCACGGCGCGGUGAAUACGUUCCCGGGCCUUGUACACACCGCCCGUCAAGCCAUGGGAGCCGGGGGUACCUGAAGUGCGUAACCGCGAGGAGCGCCCUAGGGUA
rnacentral:rRNA from 1 species